CUUACCAACGCUGUCAGUUAGUUACCGAGCUGUCAGCACAACUGAGCACCACGCUGCAAGGGCAUCAGCCAAACCUGUGGAGACACAUCUGUAAAAGUGGCAUGAUGAUAAAGUGGUGACGUUUCUGCUGUAUGCCAUGGGGAUGGCAGGUUCAGGUGCGCUGCUCAAGUAAACCAGGGCCAUUGCCACAGGCAAUUUAAUCCUCACCAGCUGAGUCCAUCCACUCCUAAAACUCAAGACUUCUUCUUGCAAAGAAAUGUUCAGUUCAAUGAAGCAUUCUCCUCAGCACAUCAUUUAUGAAGGCUGCAACUAACAAUUGUUUUCGUUGUCGACUGAUCUGUUGAUUACUUUCUCAAUUAAUCAUUUAGUUAUUUUGUCCAUAAAAUGUAAGUAAAUGGUGAACAAUGUUGAUUAGUAUUUCCCAAAGCCCUAGAUGAUGUCUUCAGAUGUCUUGUUUGGUCCACAACCCAAAGAUAUUCAGUUUAUGGUCAUAAGAAACCUGAAAAUAUUCACAUUUAAGAAGCUGGUAUCAGACAAGUUUUACCUUUUUCCCUA